UACAGAGGGUGCAAGCGUUAAUCGGAAUUACUGGGCGUAAAGCGUGCGUAGACGGUUACAUAAGUCGGGUGUGAAAGCCCCGGGCUCAACCUGGGAAUUGCAUUCGAGACUGCGUAGCUAGGGUGCGGAAGAGGGAAGCGGAAUUUCCGGUGUAGCGGUGAAAUGCGUAGAUAUCGGAAGGAACACCAGUGGCGAAGGCGGGUCUCUGGGCCGAUACUGACGCUGAGGAGCGAAAGCGUGGGGAGCAAACAGG
rnacentral:rRNA from 1 species